rnacentral:rRNA from 1 species
AACGUAGGUGGCAAGCGUUAUCCGGAUUCACUGGGCGUAAAGCGCACGCAGGCGGCACGGUAGGUAGGGCAUGAAAGCCCCUGGCUUAACUGGGGGAAGCUGUCCUAUACCACCGCGCUUCGAGGACAGGAGAGGGACGUGGAACUGCCGGUGUAGUGGUGAAAUGCGUAGAGAUCGGCAAGAACACCAGUGGCGAAGGCGGCGUCCUGGCCUGGUCCUGACGCUCAAGUGCGAAAGCUAGGGGAGCGAACGGG